rnacentral:rRNA from 1 species
AGUCGAACGGACUUAAUCGAUUCUUUUAGAUUCGAAGCGGUUAGUGGCGGACUGGUGAGUAACACGUAAGCAACCUGCCUGUUAGAGGGGAAUAACAGUGAGAAAUCACUGCUAAAACCGCAUAUGCCGUGAACAUCGCAUGAUGAAAACGGGAAAAGAGCAAUCUGCUAAUAGAUGGGCUUGCGUCUGAUUAGCUAGUUGGUGUGGUAAAGGCAUACCAAGGCAACGAUCAGUAGCCGGACUGAGAGGUUGAACGGCCACAUUGGGACUGAGAUACGGCCCAGACUCCUACGGGAGGCAGCAGUCGGGAAUAUUGCGCAAUGGAGGAAACUCUGACGCAGUGACGCCGCGUAUGGGAAGAAGGUUUUCGGAUUGUAAACCAUUUUAGACAAGGAAGAAACAAGACAGUACUUGUAGAAUAAGCUCCGGCUAACUACGUGCCAGCAGCCGCGGUAAUACGUAGGGAGCAAGCGUUAUCCGGAUUUAUUGGGUGUAAAGGGUGCGUAGACGGGAAGGUAAGUUAGUUGUGAAAUCCCUCGGCUCAACUGAGGAACUGCGACUAAAACUGCUUUUCUUGAGUGCUGGAGAGGAAAGUGGAAUUCCUAGUGUAGCGGUGAAAUGCGUAGAUAUUAGGAGGAACACCAGUGGCGAAGGCGACUUUCUGGACAGUAACUGACGUUGAGGCACGAAAGUGUGGGGAGCAAACAGGAU